GUCUGGGAAACUGCCUGAUGGAGGGGGAUAACUACUGGAAACGGUAGCUAAUACCGCAUAACGUCGCAAGACCAAAGUGGGGGACCUUCGGGCCUCAUGCCAUCAGAUGUGCCCAGAUGGGAUUAGCUAGUAGGUGGGGUAACGGCUCACCUAGGCGACGAUCCCUAGCUGGUCUGAGAGGAUGACCAGCCACACUGGAACUGAGACACGGUCCAGACUCCUACGGGAGGCAGCAGUGGGGAAUAUUGCACAAUGGGCGCAAGCCUGAUGCAGCCAUGCCGCGUGUGUGAAGAAGGCCUUCGGGUUGUAAAGCACUUUCAGCGGGGAGGAAGGCGUUGAGGUUAAUAACCUUGUCGAUUGACGUUACCCGCAGAAGAAGCACCGGCUAACUCCGUGCCAGCAGCCGCGGUAAUACGGAGGGUGCAAGCGUUAAUCGGAAUUACUGGGCGUAAAGCGCACGCAGGCGGUCUGUCAAGUCGGAUGUGAAAUCCCCGGGCUCAACCUGGGAACUGCAUUCGAAACUGGCAGGCUAGAGUCUUGUAGAGGGGGGUAGAAUUCCAGGUGUAGCGGUGAAAUGCGUAGAGAUCUGGAGGAAUACCG
rnacentral:rRNA from 1 species